CCUACGGGAGGCAGCAGUGGGGAAUUUUCCGCAAUGGGUGAAAGCCUGACGGAGCAACGCCGCGUGAGGGAUGAAGGCCUCUGGGGCUGUAAACCUCUUUUAUCAAGGAAGAAGAUCUGACGGUACUUGAUGAAUAAGCCACGGCUAAUUCCGUGCCAGCAGCCGCGGUAAUACGGGAGUGGCAAGCGUUAUCCGGAAUUAUUGGGCGUAAAGCGUCCGCAGGCGGUCUUGUAAGUCUGUCGUUAAAGCGUGGAGCUUAACUCCAUUUCGGCGGUGGAAACUACAAGACUAGAGUGUGGUAGGGGCAGAGGGAAUUCCCGGUGUAGCGGUGAAAUGCGUAGAUAUCGGGAAGAACACCAGUGGCGAAGGCGCUCUGCUGGGCCAUAACUGACGCUCAUGGACGAAAGCUAGGGGAGCGAAAGGGAUUAGAUACCCCUGUAGUCCUAGCCGUAAACGAUGAACACUAGGUGUCGGGGGAAUCGACCCCCGUCGGUGUCCGUAGCUAACGCGUUAAGUGUUCCGCCUUGGGGAGUACGCACGCAAGUGUGAACUCAAAGGAAUUGACGG
rnacentral:rRNA from 1 species